ACAAAUUGUGAUGCGGUUAAGAUAAAAAGUAUUUUUCCCUACUUGAUUUCUCAUAAGUGCAUCUGGUUUCCAUCAAAACCUCAUUAUAUGCAAUCCAUUAGUUACAUGAUGCUCCUUCUGUCAUGAGUUGCAGUAAAAUAUCCAGCAAACUCCUUAUCUGUGGUCUUGGGUUGUAGUUCUUGUAUCCAAAAGUUGGCUCAUUUUAUUGAUGAUUUUGGAGCACAUCAACAGGGAAAAUGACAGUGCUUUCAAGUUGUGGUUCUUGUAUCUAAAAGGUUGAAAAAGAAGAGACUUGGAUCAUUUUAUUGAUGAUUUUGGAGCACAUUGACAAGGAAAAUGACAGUGGCAAGCAAUCUUUUCUUGAAUCUCCUCAGCAUGGGUCAGCCACAGGGAACAAACUCUUAAAGCGGUCUCUUCACUGUCCCAUGCCUAACCUAAUAUUCCCCUUCGGUAUCACCCUUGAGCAGAGGUCAAAGGUGUGCAUCUCCCAUGCAGAAUUAUGACGCUUUGAUGGUCGUGCACGUCAAGCCAACUGCAGUCCAUGUAGUUUGCUCAGUCUCCAUUCUGAUAACCUGUGUCAGAUAAAUGCAACAUUAUCAUACCAGAUGAGGACAUUAUUCUUUAGGCUUUCCGUGUCCCUUGAAAGGUAUAGGAUGUGAAACGAGUAUUCUUUCAAAGCAGCUCAACUGCGGAGCCGGGUGUCAAGAUCUUGCUAAGAACAGUGCCAGCAGAUUCCAAUACAAUAGCUUUGAUAAGCAACUCCUUAUUCCACAUUCACUCCCUUUUCAUGAACGAGCUGCCAUGUCUAAGACACGCAUAUCAUCAGGUAUGGGGUGGGGAGAAGAGAAACGGAAGGGUGGAAUCUUCUCCUGUAGAGUAAACAAUUGGAAGCAAGAAACUUUGGUUUUUAUUUCUUUGGAGUUCUCUUGUUAGAACAGCAGUACUAUGACAAGGAAAGCAGUUGCCAACCUUUUUGCAUGAGGAUGUGAGAGACAAAAAACUCAUGGCAACAUUGGAAGGUGGCAAACUCGACACGGUUCAGUUUGCUGAAGGUGUCAAAGAUUCUGUUCUUCCUUCCAAUCUCUUAGUCAAUUACGAAGGAGAUCUGCUUAAUGUUUACUAACUGUUGCAAACCUUAG